GUAGCUAGUGAAAUUACUGGGCAAAUGAGACUUAACAUCUUAUGUCUCAAGCGCAAUUGUAGUGCCGCUGAGAAUUUUUGGGUUUUUUAAGAAUGCUGAGCGGCACUGCAUUGUAAUGGACAGGGCGUAUCAAUUACCAUCAGCUGAACGUCCUAUAUGUAUGGGGGGCCUACCAACACUGCGUUUUCCGAUACGUGGUCGCAAUUCAAGACUUUACUGCCCCAACGGCCAUCUGUCCUUCGAGCUCUGUGCACUGCCCGAUGCCACUUCAGUUUCGCAAUAAUUUGGACUGUGUCGACUUUGGUUAAAAAUGGCAUAAAAAGGCAUUUAUUUUCUCAAAAUGUAUCCCAAUAGAAUUCUUUUUGAUGUCAUUUGAAACAUUACCACCGCUUCGGAAACAAAUGACGCUCCGAGAGAAGAAACGGCGCAAGGAUCUCUGCCAGCAUUCCUUUUUUGUGCUCUUUAAAAAAAAAAAAAAAAAUCUCCUAUGGAUUCGGUUCUCC